UACGGAGGGAGCUAGCGUUGUUCGGAUAUACUGGGCGUAAAGCGCACGUAGGCGGCGCCGUAAGUCAGGGGUGAAAUCCCGGAGCUCAACUCCGGAACUGCCUUUGAUACUGGCAAUCUUGAGGCUGGAAGAGGUUAGUGGAAUUCCCAGUGUAGAGGUGAAAUUCGUAGAUAUUGGGAAGAACACCAGUGGCGAAGGCGGCUAACUGGUCCAGAUCUGACGCUGAGGUGCGAAAGCGUGGGGAGCAAACAGG
rnacentral:rRNA from 1 species